CAAAACCAUUGGCGGGCUGGAGAUUCACCCAUUCCCUCCCAAAUCACACCAGUACCGCUUCCCCAAACCCUAGAUUGACGCCGCACCAUCUCGACGGACCACCUCCCUGGCGCCGCCGUACCACCUUCUCAGCACUGCCGGACCUCCAGAUACUUUUCCUCUUCCUCUUUAGUGUUGAAUCUAUAUUUUUGAACCAUGUUUCAGAACAUUAGGCUUGGGUGUUAGUAGGGCCGGCUCAAGGGUAAAGCUGCUAAAGCCCUAGCUUUGGGCUUCCUUUCUUCCAUGCCUCCGUUUUACGAUUUACUUCAUGUAUACUAACUAAUCGUAUUGGGCUCUGUGGUUGAGACUUGGGAAAAAAGAUUAGUGAACAUGGGGGUGGGGGUGGAAAUAGAAUCGUCAGGAACAGUAAAGUGUAAAUCGGAAACGAAUUUCGAAGUUCCAACUACAACUUGUUCUGUGUUCUUUCUCAACUAAAUCGAAGUUGUUCUGUUGUGCUUUGGAAUCGGAAUUGUCAAAUAGAAGGUUUUAUGUUCUAAGGUCCCUGUUAUGCUUUUUCUUUAGUAAUUGAAGCCUAGUUAACAAUUUCUGGCCGGUGAUUUUGUAGAGAAGUGUUUCAAGACUUGUAGGUUCACUCAGAGUUGGAGCAUUAUGUGACCAGUUGCUACUACAAACUUUGCCAUAUUUACAUUAAAAACACAUUUAGACACUCCUCUAUAUAAAAUACAGACAUGGAAUUGAACCGUCAAGCUGCCACGAUUGAACCCCGUCAAGCGCACCACAGUCGAACCCCGGUUGGCGAGUCGAAGGUUAGUGGUUCGACUUGUCCAAUUAAAUGGGUUAAACAAGUCAACCAAUUUAUCAAACGGGUUAGAUAGGCGAUAUUUCCCUCACUCGAAUUUGAAUGACAUGUGAUGGCUGAUCAGAAUGAAGAAGGAAUCUAAUCGGAAUGAAGAGGCGGAAUUGGUAAAGCUCUGCUACAAGCAUAUCAUGCGUGUUGUAAUUAACUGCUUCUGGUUAGGAACUGAUCGGAGCUUCAUAAAAACAUAACGAGCCGAGCUCGAGCCUAGUCGGGCUUGGCUCGGCUCGUUUACACCCCUAGUCAACAUGAUGCGUGCAGGUUACUUGGUUAGAAACAGACCUUUUUACCGUUGGCUUGGGUUUUCUCAUGCUUUCAAUGGGACUUACGCUAACAUUUGAGGAUUUCAGACGUCGUUUAAGGAAUCCAUGGACUGUUGGCAUAGGGUUUAUUGCUGAGUACUUGAUCAAACCUUUGUUGGGAUUCUUCAUUGCAAUGACUCUAAAUGUUGCAACUUAUAUAUCGAAAGGAAAUCUAGCACUUUCUCUUCUCUUCUCAUGACAACAUGUUCGACUAUUGGAGCUAUUAUCAUGACACCACUGUUGACUAAACUUCUAGCUGGUAUUUUGGUUCUGUUACGCGGUUUCUUUUUGUGGCAUUUGCUCUUAUUUUUGGUUCUGUUUGCGGUUUCGAACUAGUUAGCGUUUGUGUACUUUUAUAUAUAUAUAUAUAUAGAUCAAUGGUUUGGUAUGUAUUUGGAAAACCGAAAAUAGCAGUAAAGCGUUUGUGUACUUUUAUAUAUAUACGAGUCAGUUAAAAAACUGAUUUUAUAUUUGCAA